UACGUAGGGAGCAAGCGUUGUCCGGAAUCAUUGGGCGUAAAGCGCGCGUAGGCGGCCCCGUAAGUCCGCUGUGAAAGUCAAAGGCUCAACCUUUGAAAGCCGGUGGAUACUGUGGGGCUAGAGUCCGGAAGAGGCGAGUGGAAUUCCUGGUGUAGCGGUGGAAUGCGCAGAUAUCAGGAGGAACACCAAUAGCGAAGGCAGCUCGCUGGGACGGUACUGACGCUAAGGCUCGAAAGCGUGGGGAGCGAACAGG
rnacentral:rRNA from 1 species